AUCUCUAAGUUAAGAGUAAACUGUUAUGAUUUAAACUUACUCAUAUUAACUUCCACCAUGGGGCUUGCAACCAUCACUUGUGUCUUGAGUAGUUAAAAGAUAGAACAGUCUAGUCAAGCGCCAUGUCUCUUGUUCCUUUAUUAACUAUAGCUCUAGAGUUUUUGCAGAUUUUUCAAAUAAAACUCAGAGAUUCCUUGUAUGACCCUCUCAAAUCUCUCUUUUGUGGUAUUUCUAGAUCCAUUCCAAGGCAGUAAUGGUGUUUGCCUUCUCUCAAAGUAUGUGGCAUUUUUGGUAUGAGGCAUAGUGAUAUUGGCUUCUCUCUCACCCUACUCUAAUAAGGUUUUGAUAUCUGGAGCUCAUAUGUGGGAGACAGCUAAUACAUACAUACAUACAAGACAUUUAUUGCAUAGUCAAACCAUGGAUCUAGAGAAACAAGUCAAUAAGUCAAAUCAAGAUGUGCAUGUGUAGCGAGUGAAUGGUGUAUGGUGAUGAUGGUGAUAAUGGUGAAAACAAUGGUGAAAGUCUAAUUCUACUUUUGCUCUUUUGAGAUGAUACAUACCUUUCUUGCACUUUGAAGCUUUUUGAGGAGAAUGCGAUGCUCUUAUUUUAUUUUUCUUUUCUCUCAGGUGGGUAUCUUGUACCCCUAAUUCUACUGUCGAACACUUGUCCAUUUUUACCUCUCAUCUCACUUUUUCUUUUCUUUGAGGUUCCGGGCACUUGCCCCUUUUUAUUUCCUCAUAUUUUUCAUAUUUUUCUUCUUUUUCUAAAGCACUCACCCUCCUUGAAUAAUAUAGCAAGUGGUAGUAACUAGAAUAUCUCGAGCAUUUAUUUCACUGGGAAAAGCAGGAAUGGGGUAAUGUUUUUGGCUAUUCUCUCCCGGAUAGGAGUAGAAUAAUUUCGGGUGAAUUUGGAGAUGGAAAUGAGUGGAUGUAUGUGGAUGCGUACUUUCGGAGUAGAAGCAGCAUGUAUGAGUGAACGUGCAAGUGAAUCUUGAUUUUAACCACAUGACAAGCUUCUAAGGGUCUACACAGCUUGACCACACUCAAUGCUCAUAAGUAGUAAAAAGUAAAUGUAUGAUUCAUAGUCUAAUAAGCAUAUAUAUACAUGGCCGUGGUAGGAUUUUAAACUCUCAUCAUACAGGAACUCAUCAUGUGUUAUUUUAAAGAUUUUCAAAGAUAAAAUUUACCAGAAUUCUAGCAUCUCUAGGAACAGAUAAACAGCAGCUCAACCUUCCCACAUCAUAUUCGUUAACAACUUAGACUUUAGAUCAAGUACUCUUCCCACAAGUUCAGGUUUAGAGCAAAUCUUAAUUCAUAACAAUCAUGCCUCAGCAUGAGAGAGAUUUCAAUUUUGAGAACUAGUCAUGGUAGAGCAACUAUUCAUCAUUUCUAUGUGAGAGCUUAUCAUCAGGGUUCAUAGCAAACUUCAUUUAUUUAUUAUUUAUUAAACAAAGCAAAGAUAAAUAUAUAAGCACAAAAAUCUUUAUUUGGGUUUUUAUGAUUAUGCAUCUUUUUAUUAUUUGAGUAAAGUAUAAACGCGAGUAGAAACACUUAGCUGGAUAAAUGUGGGUGCUCUCCCCCAAGCUAGAUUUUGACGUAAUUUCUUCUGAUGUAGCUAGCAGGUGGUGGAGGUGUAUUUGAAUGUUGACAGCACCCUGACAGCGAUUAGGAUAUCCUCCGUCUGCUAGUUUUCUUGAUCCUUGAAUUCUGUGGAGCUCAAAUAGACAACAAGGCUUUGUGGAACUAGUUAAGUGUUAGCAUAAAUAUCUAGCCUCCUCAAUAAAUGUUAUUCUCUUUAGUUGGAUCACAAUCUUAUUUUUAUAUUUUCAUUUUUAUAGGAUAGGAAUAUAUUUAUUUUAUUUUUACGCCACCACAGUGAAUGUACUUAUGGGUUUUAUGCCAUGAGCAUACUCACAUGGGGCUUACUAUUUUUAAUAUUUUUAAUUUCUUUUCAAGAUAGCAUGAUUAACUAACAAGCUAUUUAAGGAAAGUAAAUAAUUUAAGGGAAAAGGGAAUGCAGAAAGGAUAAAUAUGGAUAACUAUUGAUUUUACCUUUCGGCGAGGGUUCAAUAUUUUAAAUCUUCUGAACAAGACUUCUUACCGUGUUCAUUCUUUAGGUGCGUCAUUUGAUUUAGGUGUGAACCUUGAUGUCUGCACCUGUUGAUACGGUGUCACCCAUGUUCUUCAUUUGCCCGGCAUUUCGAAGUGUGGCGUUGGCAGCAUCUUGCUCAGUGUGCUUGUGCUCGAGGUACAGGUCCUUUACUUGGUGGAGUCUGGGAGUUGUAAAACUCCUCCAUGUUUUGCUCAAAGUGUACCUGCUCAUAGAGACAAGAUAGAGAUCAAGUGCAUGGGCCCUGUUGGUGGAAAACACCAACAAAACCAAAAGUGUAUUUGUUCUUCUAUAACCUUAAGCAUAGUGAGCAAGACAAAUUUGAUAGAUAAUAAGAUCAUGAGUGUAGUAUUUAAAACAUUUGUCAAAUCAGAUCGCUCAACCUAAUGGAAAGAUAAUCUAUCUAUAUUUAUGUUUUUUUUAUAUAUCUUCCAAAGAUUGAGUGUGCAACAUUUUAGCUCAUAUGAUUAGGAGUGUGGGAUCACAAAGGUGGAAGGACUAAACAUGUUGAAUCGAUUGGGUUGGUUAACCUAGAGUUGUAAAUCAUACAUGUUUGUCUCUUUUAUUCAUAUGUACGCCAGAACCAAGGAGAAGCUUAUAAAAGUGAUAGUCAAGUACCUUAAGAUGUUACCUUACUUGAAGAGUGAUGGUACUGUAUCACCUUGUGGAAGCUUUCCUUUCUUAGCGGUUGUGCAUCGUGUUUGUGGCACCCUCCAUGGAUCAUCUCUUAUAAGCUACGUCUUCCUUGUGUAAGUUGUUAAACUUGAUGUGGCUCUCUCUUUGUCUCCAAUGUGAGUUUAUCUCAGGACUUCAGAGGUUGAUAUUGAAAGUUUUCCUGCAGGGGUUAGUCCAACAAAAUAUCCAAUAUCUACUAUAGCAUACUAUCGGCUCAAAAAUCAACCUAGACACCAUGUCUAAUUUGAUUUAGGAGGGCAUUUUAACCUAAGCACCAUGCUUAUUUUAAGAGAUAAAUGAAACUACUCCAAACCUAGACAUAUACUAAAGCAAAUAAAGGUAGCAUGAGAGCAUUUAUAGAGAUCUACUCAAGUGGAGAUGAAGUAGUGUGAUUAGUAUUUAACAAAUUGAGCAUGUCUUAAAGGUAGGGACAACCAACGUACCAACAUGGCAAAAGAUGUUUUUAUGUAAAGUACUCCCCCAAGCUUGAAUUUUGCAAAAUUCAAGUUUGGAUUUAAUUCAAUGUUGUAUGAUGAUUGGUUGGACAUACGUUGUGCUUGUCAUUCAUCCAAUCUUCUUGCUCCAAUCCUGGAAAGGUUAGUGACAAGAAUACCCGAAGGAAUUUUACAAUUAUUCUUAUAUGCUCAAUACACAAUGUAAUAUUGUAAAUAAUUAAAAGCUCAUGUUACAAUCUGAUCAGUGCUUAUUUUAGGACACUAAGCUUGUCCUUGGGAAACCAUCAAUUUAUGUCGGCGAAGUGGUUUCCCUUCCAACGCUGACCUAUAUCAAGAUCAACUCAACGAGAUCUGCAAUAUUUAUUAUAGACAUAUGCAUCGAUAACCGCCCUUUUAAAGUUUUUAUAAAUAGAAAGGAAGAGGGGGUUGGAGAUCUCAAAUGUGGUGAUGUUGGAGAGACCAAUAGAUUGGGAAGAUGUUGCAUAUGAGCAUGGAGUAAACGAGGUGGCUAGGAAAUAAAUUCUAUGCUCAUUAAUCUUAUCUUCGUCUCCAAUCUGAAUGUUCAGAGUUUCUCCUAGAUUGGUCUCACCUAUGUCCUCUUCUGUAGUUGGAUGAAUCUCAUCUUCAAAGGGAGUCAAGAACUCACCAUUUGAAAUUGAGCCAAAGUCAGAAUCCAUUAAGGCUUCUUCCUUAUCCAUCCAUUCUACACAUUCUAGCCAUUUAGAACUUGUGAUCAGGAAAGGGGAGCUAAUAGAAUAUUCUAUAUGGCUUAGCUCUCCUUCUGUGGCAUUACUUGACAUGCCAUCCUUAUGGUCUUCAUGACUCCUAUGGUUUGGUCGUCUUGGUGAAUUGCUUGGAUCCUCAUGAGAAUGGAAAGGAGAGGAAUAAGAGGGAUCUCUAAGGUCAAGGGAUGGCAUUUUACGAAUUUUUGCUGGAAACCAUUGCGCACACGCGGCGCAAGCCCACGAACUAAAGAAAAUUCCCUUUCCCUUAAUUAUUUAAGCUUUUUAAGGCUUACUUCCCUUUUCGACCUUUGAAUAUUUUGUCAUCCUUGACUUCUUCAUAACAGGAACCAGGUCAUUCUCUAAGAGAACCAUUAUUGCAAGGAUUUGAAUUAUCCAUGCUUGAAGGUCUCUUAUGGAACCAGAAGUCUAAACCAUCAGCAUCGGAAAGAUUUAAGGUCGGAAUUCCAUCCUCCCUUGGAGAAUUUUGGGGUAUUGAUGGUUUAGGAUCGAUAGCUAAAGUUUGGGAUUAAAGUGGUUGUGAUCUGGCUAUUGAAACUUCUUCUUGUUGUCUAGGAACUGGUUCUUUCUCUUUCUUAGGGAUAUAAAUGCUAGGAAACUUUCCAGUCAAUGAAUCAAUUAAAUCCCUAGCUUCACUAGCCGGUAGGUGAUAGAAGAAUCCUCUAGAGGCUGUAUUCAAGGUUUGCUUAUUUUCCCUACUAAGGCCCUCAAAAAAGUGAAUUAGAAAAACUUCUUCUGGAAUAGAAAGCUUUGGGCCAGUGAGAGUAAGGUUAAUAAAGUGGUCCCAUGAUUUGCCAUGAGAUUCUUCUUCUAGUUGUCUAAAAGAAAUAAUCUCACGCCAAACUUCCGCCACUUUGGAGAUUGGAAAAUAUUUAAAAAUAAAACUAUUAUAUAACUUCUUCCAAUCUCCAUGAACACUCCCUACUUUGAGUUUGUACCGAUGUCUAGCUUUUCCUGUUAAAGAGAACGGAAAGAGCUUCCAUUUAAGGGUUUCAUCAGACAUGCCUUCUACAUGCAGGAGGUCACAGACUCGAUAAAACUCUCUUAGGUGUGUGUAUCGGUUUUCCUCACCUUCUCCUGAGAAAGGUUGUUUUUGAACAAAUUCUAUGUAUUCGAGGUCUAUCUCAAAACUAGAUGCUAUGAUAAGCUUUGAAGAUUUUGGUGGUUCGAGAUGUGUGCCCGUAGGUCUAUGAAAUUCAUAGAUAGACAUGUUUGAAUUCAUGAUAGACCAGAGAUCAAGGAUUAGAUAAGAAGAAAGAAUAGCAGAGAUAAGGCAGAAGAUAAAAGGAAAAGUAUAUUUGUUUUUUAUUUUUUAAAAAAUGAUUAAGCUAGUUCAUAGACAACUCAGCAACCGUUUCCUCGGCAAUGGUGCCAAAAAGCUUGUUGACACUUGCUAACACCACUUGGAUACUAGGUUGUCAUCCCCAGCAUGGCACUAGAGUGUACUAUGGUAUUUAUACGCACACAGAUAAAUCCGCAAGUGCACGGAUACCGUUGUAGCUUUUACCCGGUUAAAGGUUUUAUCGUAUCCACAGGGAAACGAGAGAACUGAUCUACGCUCUAACUUAACCUAGAUAGAUAGGUAGGUGUAAAUAGGAAAGAUGGUAGAGUUGAAUAAGAACAAUAUUAAAGGUAAGAUAACAAUGGGUGAUAAUAUGGGAAUAGAGAGUAGAGCAAUCUAGUAUAUGGGCGAUGGUAGGAGAAUAGAGAGGAUAACUAUGGUUUCUCUACUUCAAAGGGUUAUGUCUAUGUCUGGGACGAACCACGUGAUAAGAAUACACCACAAAGGAUGCUUAUCCAUAGGCCGAUAAACCCUACCAGUCCUGCUAACGGGAGGUGGACUACAGAGGACCAACGUAGCUGUCACAUACGCGGCCUACCACACGAUCCGUCUAGAUAGGGGAUAUCCACAAGUAAUCUAGGUCUAAGCACCACGUUUACACCUAUACUACAACUCUAACCUAUAGGGUCCUAUAGAUUAAAAGUACUCAAAAGAGUUGUGAACCAGAACAUACAUGAAUAGUAAUUGCAUAAUGAAAUAGAAGUAGAUUACCAGAGUCAUCCCAUGAGCAAGCUUGAUUAGAGCUUGAUCAAGGUGAAGUACAACUGGAGGAAGAACCGACAGGCCGGCCUCUCCUCCAAUCCUCCCUCGCUCUCCAUCUCGCUACUAUCUAGAUCUACCCUAGUUCAGAGAUGAGAGGAGAGCUCUCAUCUCCAAACCCUAGCUUUUGCUCUGUCUAUGAAUAAUGAAUAAGGAUGAAGGGGUUGUCUCCUCCAGGGGCCAGGGGGUCUGCUUAUAUAGUCCCCUCAAGUGAAUCUGGGCCGUCGGAUCAAACCGACCUUAAUCGUACGGUUUUCCUUGAUCCUUUAGGUCGGCGGAGCAUGAUCCGUGAGAUUGAUCGUGAUUGACUCCUAUAGCUGGGUGGGCGCCCAAGGGGGUGUUGACGGUUCUUAAGUAUCAAUUUUAAUUAUCAAAUAAACAAAAGAAAAGACCAAUAUGCAACCAACACCUAGAAUUAGGGUUUGAUCUGACAGAAUUCCACGAGUUUUGUUGUUUAUCUAUUUCUGCAGGGGGUUAUCAGGAAAUAAGGAAGAAAGGCCCACAUGUCGGGAUUACAUAGAGAUAUCAACGCACCGCAUGAUUUUCUACCAUCUAGAAGACUCCAGAAGCCACGGGAAGAAGACGGAGGCCGAAAGGGGCCAGGCCCAGGGCGCCCGCCCUGGUGACCUGGGCGCCCGCCCCCUGCUGGAUGCCAAUCAGGACUCUUCGCACGGGAUAUUCCACCGACCUAUUGGAUCAAGGAAAACAUAGUACCACCUCGCCUACCGACCCAAAAACGCAUAGAAGGGAAGGACUAUAUAAGGAGACUCCCCUGGCCCCUGGAGAAGACAUGAAGAAAUUAUCAUAGAGACUGAGGGGUGCCCUCGAAGGAAAACCUCUUCUCUAAUUAAUAUUUCUUUUUAGGCUUAGCAACCAAUGUAAGGUAGAAAUAGAUCUUCUAGUUUCUACUAGAUUGAGAGAGAUAGAGUGGAGGUGUAGAUUGGAGGAAGCCCGGCCUGUCGGUGUCUACUCCAAGCUUGUACCUGCGGGAUCAAGUUCUCCUAACCCGAAGCUUGCUCCUAGGAUUCUUCAGUAUUUCGACUUCUAAAUUCUAGUAAGUUCUUGUUUUAUUGUUCUUAUGGUUUAUGAGUUUACUUUAAUCUCUUCGCGUAGAGUUUAGAGUAAUCAUUGCUGGCGUAAACGUGGUGUUAAGGCUGGGGUACUCAUAGAUAUUCCCUGACUUGCUGGACCGUGGUAGUAGUGAGGAACGUGACAAUUCCGAGUUACCUUUGCAGAUCACAUCUCGUUAGCAGGAAGGAUAGGGUUUAUAGGUGCGGGUUGAACAUCCUUUGUGGUGUCUAGAUUCCGUUAGCCUCCCCAUUAGAACAGUAGAUCAUCCUUACCAAGGUUAGAAGGAGACUACGGUUGCAGUCUUCUCUAUUUAUCACUCACAUCGAAAGACAUUAUUUGUGCCUAAAGGUUAGUAGUAAUAGACCGGUUAGUCAGAUGCACUCUUUCUCCUAGUGGUAAAAAAAUAAAUACGAUACUCUGGAUAAUUUCCCGGGUGAAGUGCUCACCGAUAUCCGUGCGCUUGCGGAUCAAUUCCUUAUUGCGUUCCCAAAUAUCAACAAGCAUUUCUGGCGCCGUUGCCGGGGAGAAAGACGGUUGCUGAGAUAACCUGAGUCUUACUAUUAGCUUGUAUCUAUACUUUUAUCUUUUCUUAUCUUUUAUAUUCUUUAUUUUCUUUAUUCUUACCUUAUGGAAAACCAAAAUUCUAAAUCGAUCCAUGAGUCUGCAAUCCCUUCAGCAACUGACCUUUUACCAUGGGAAUCAUCACAGCCUAUCCAAACAUCCCAGUAUAAGUUAAGUUCUAGGUUGAUUGCCAUGAUUCAAAAUCUAUCUUUUUCGGGAAAGGAAGACGAAAACCCUUACCUUCAUAUUAGAGAUUUUAAGCAAACAUGUGAUUGUCUUCGCAUUGAAGGCAUUUCUGAUAAAGCUUUACGUUGGAAGCUUUUUCCUUUUUCUUUAAGGGGAGAAGCUAGACAAUGGUACAGUCAGAAGGUAAGUCAACAACAAGGUGAAUGGGGAGUUUUACGAGCCAACUUUUGUCUGAAUUUCUAUUCCCUUGACCGUAUAGCCAACCUUAGACUUGAAGUCCUAUCUUUUAAACAAAAAGAUAAUGAAACUUUGGGAAAAUCCUGGAAACGUUUUUCUGAUCUUUUAGAAUCUGGUCCAAACCUUAAUCUUGAAGACCCUGUUCUUUUAUUUCACUUUUUUCGAGGUCUUCAGAAAAAUCACAAACAAAUGCUUCACACAGUGUCUAGAGGUUCUUUCUUUCGCAUCCCUGCUGAUGACGCUAGAGUGAUCCUAGAUAGAAUCCUAGAAGCUGAGAUGGAUAAUACCCUUCAUGAUGAAACCCACGAAGCCGAAGUAGACACUCUGCCAAAUUCUUCAUCUACUUUAGCUAUCCCAAGUUCUGAGCCACAAGAGGAAGAAAUUCGACCACCGGACUUCAUGCUGGAUAUAGAAUCCGAUCUUUUUGCCGAUUUUGGAAAUAUUUCAAACUACCAUUCUAUUGACAAACCCCAAAACGGCCAGUUUAGCCUUUAUUUGCCAAGUGAACAUCAAUUGAGAGAGCUUAUCUCAGUCAUGAGUAGCGAAUGGUUGGAGGAAUCAGAGCUUUCCUCUAAUGUGAUCCGUUUGGACACACCCUAUAUAACUAUACGCUGUGCUUAUAAUUCUGAUCGAUUUAAUGCUCUUUAUAAUCCUGUUGUGGGGAUCAACAUCAUGUCUGAAUCUUUUGCACUUAAACUAUUUAAAAAUCUUGUCUUAACCCCCACAACAAAGGUCAUAAAGGAAUCUUCAGGACGAUUAGUCCCUAGUCUUGAAAUUAUUAAUGUCCUACCUCUUACGGUAGAAGGCUCCAUGGUUCAUUUGAACUUCUAUAUCUUUGAUACAUGGGACUUCGACCUGUUGAUAGGAUAACCUUUUAGAAGACUCCUUUAUGAAGGUCAUACUGGAAAGCUACACAUUUCUUUUGAAAAAACUUUUAAAUUCCCGAUAACAAUUUCACAUUCCUUAAACAAUAAGGCCGAGUCAUAUCUUUUGCCUGAUCCUAUGGAGGAGGUAAAGGCUGCAUCUCUAGAGCUUUUAGAUGAACCAGACUUAGAAGAUGAAACUCCUUUCUUCACUGAAGAAGAAGACGAACCUUCUGAGCCUGAACCCUUAGAUGAGUUUGCAGAAACACCUAGACCCCCCAUAGAGCUUAAAACUUUACCACCCGGUCUUACCAAUGCUUUCCUAAACAAUAAUCCAGAGUUCCCUGUAAUCAUUAGCGAUAAACUCACUCAGGAUCAAACUCCGCGAUUAAUGACCAUUCUUGAGAAACAUCACUCAGUGUUUGGCUACUCACUUCAAGAUCUUACAGGAAUCAGUCCUAUGAUUUGUACCCAUCGUAUUCCAACAGAUCCUUCUGUUACACCCUCUCGAGAACCCCAACGUAGACUUAACAACACUAUGAGAGAGGUAGUUAAAAAGGAAGUUAUAAAGUUGCUGCAUGCAGGGAUUAUAUAUCCUGUGCUGCACAGUGAGUGGGUAAGCCCAGUGCAAGUUGUGCCUAAAAAGGGAGGCAUGACUGUUAUUAUGAAUGAAAAGAACGAGCUAAUUCCGCAACGCACCGUCACAGGAUGGCGGAUGUGCAUAGACUAUAGAAAACUAAACAAAGCCACGAGAAAGGAUCACUUUCCUUUGCCUUUCAUAGAUGAGAUGCUAGAGCGGUUAGCAAACCAUUCGUUCUUCUGUUUCUUAGAUGGAUAUUCAGGGUAUCACCAAAUCCCGACCCAUCCCGAUGAUCAAAGCAAAACCACUUUUACAUGCCCAUAUGGAACUUAUGCUUAUCGUAGAAUGUCUUUUGGGUUAUGUAAUGCACCAGCUUCUUUUCAAAGAUGCAUGAUGUCUAUAUUUUCUGAUAUGAUUGAAGAGAUUAUGGAAGUUUUCAUGGAUGAUUUCUCUGUUUAUGGAAAAACUUUUGAUAGUUGUCUUGAAAACUUAGACAAGGUUUUGCAAAGAUGUGAAGAAAAGCACUUAAUCCUUAAUUGGGAAAAAUGUCAUUUUAUGGUUAGGGAAGGAAUAGUGCUGGGACACCUAGUGUCUGAAAGAGGUAUUGAGGUAGACAAAGCUAAAAUUUAAGUAAUUGAACAACUACCUCCACCUAUGAAUAUAAAAGGAAUUCGAAGCUUUCUUGGCCAUGCUGGUUUUUAUCGUAGAUUCAUAAAAGAUUUUUCAUUUAUUGCUAGACCACUUACUCUUUUGCUAGCCAAGGAUGCUCCUUUCGAAUUUGAUGAUGCAUGUCUAACAUCUUUCAAUUUAUUAAAGAAAGCACUCAUCUCUGCACCAAUCAUUCAACCCCCUGAAAUUAUGUGUGAUGCUAGUGAUUAUGCUGUGGGGGCAGUAUUGGGACAAACUAAAAAUAAGAAGCAUCAUGCAAUUGCUUGUGCCAGUAAAACUUUGACAGGAGCUCAACUUAAUUAUGCAACCACUGAAAAAGAGCUUCUGGCUGUUGUCUGUGCCAUUGAUAAAUUUAGAUCUUAUUUAGUUGGAGCUAAAAUAAUUGUUUACACUGAUCAUGCUGCACUAAAAUAUUUGCUCACUAAAAAAGAUGCUAAACCUCGCCUGAUUAGAUGGAUCUUAUUACUCCAAGAAUUUGACUUAGAAAUAAAAGAUAAAAAAGGAGUAGAAAAUUCUGUUGCAGAUCACUUGUCUAGAAUGUAUUUUAAGAGUCCACAGGAAACCCCCAUCAAUGAUUCACUCCGGGACGACAUGCUCUACGGGAUUAACAGGUCUGACCCCUGGUAUGCAGAUAUUGUUAAUUUUAUGGUUUCAGGGUAUGUACCACCAGGAGCAAACGAGAAGAAGCUUAUUCAAGAAAGUCGUUCACAUAUAUGGGAUGAGCCAUACCUCUUCCGAGUAUGCUCUGAUGGCUUACUCAGGAGAUGUGUGACCACUGAGGAAGGAUGGAAGAUCAUCGACAGAUGUCAUUCAUCACCAUAUGGAGGUCACUAUGGAGCAUUCCGUACACAUUCAAAAAUCUGGCAGUGUGGAUUCUACUGUCCUACAAUGUAUGAAGACACGAAGCAAUAUAUCAGAAGAUGUGGGCCAUGUCAAAGGCACGGAAACAUAAAUACAAGGGAUGCAAUGCCACUCACCAAUAACCUUCAGAUUGAGCUCUUUGAUGUCUGGGGAAUAGACUACAUGGGUCCAUUUCCUCCAUCAAAGAAGUGUGAGUACAUCUUGGUGGUAGUUGACUAUGUCUCCAAGUGGGUAGAGGCAUUACCUUGCAAGCAUGCCGACAAUGUCAGUUCAAAGAGGAUGUUUGAAGAAAUUAUAUUUCCAAGAUUUGGAGUUCCCAGAGUAGUGAUAAGUGAUGGAGGAGCACACUUCAUCGACAAACGCUUCAAGCAAUACCUAUCAAGACAUGGAAUCCGUCACAACGUCGCUACCCCCUAUCAUCCUCAGACAAGUGGCCAAGCAGAGACUUCCAACAAACAAAUCAAGAAUAUUCUUUAGAAGACAGUAAAUGAAAUGGGAACGGCGUGGAAAGACAAGUUACCCGAUGCACUCUGGGCAUACCGGACAACAUACAAGACCCCAGUUGGAAUGUCUCCAUACCAAUUGGUGUACGGGAAGACUUGCCACCUACCUGUUGAACUAGAGUUCAAAGCACACUGGGCCAUAAAGAGAUGGAAUAUGGACCUAGAUGUUGCUGGAGAUUAUAGAAGAAUGCAACUAUCAGAAUUGGAAGAAUGGCGAGAGAAGGCAUAUCACAACUCAAAGAUUUACAAAGAAAGAGUCAAAAGGUGGCAUGACAAGAGAAUCAAGAAGAAGGAGUUCACACUCGGAGAUAAGGUAUUACUUUUUAAUUCCAGGGUAAAGCUUUUCGGGCAUGGAAAACUCCGGAGCAAAUGGGAAGGACCAUUCAAGGUAAUUAAUUCAUCAUCCCACGGAGCUAUCACACUUCAAAAUAGCGAAGGUACGUUAUUCAAGGUAAAUGGUCAACGUCUUAAAUUAUUUUUAGAGCCCAAUGAGAAAUUUGAAGAAAUAGACGUAGUCCAUUUUUACCUUCCCAAGGAGAAUUAGAGCCCGACACUUUUAGUCUGAUGUUUUUGGGUCAUAUAUAUAUUUUUCUAAAUAAUUUCGCAUCUAGAAACGCGCUCGAAAAAGUGGGCCCACAGAGGGGCCAGAGAGAGGGCGGGCGCCCAGCUCCUGUUCCCCCUCAGUCCCGACUUUCUCUGUUAUGGAAAAUGCACUUAUGGUAAUUCGAAUAAUCCCUCGGAUGGAAAGUUUCGCACGCACGUCGAUGGGAGAAACCCGAACAACCCAUAGAGGCACUUUUUGACCCCUAUAUAAACAGACCCCUGACCUCAGUUUUCAAACACCAAGCCACCAAGCCUUCUCUCCUUCAAUUAGAGCUUGAUUAGUUCCUUGCUGCUCCUAUGGCCGAGAAGUACCACGAUGAUUGGGAAGUCGUCCCCUUCAACCUCAACAUGGAGCCUGUGGAAGACCCCGAUGCCCGUGCUCUCGUCCCGGCCAACACAGAGCGACAGCUAGAAGCCAUGCCAUUACGCCAGCGCAGCUCUGCCCAAUCCUACCAUGCUCAACCAGUUCUCACCGCACCACCACAACCCCUACUCCUCAAUGGAUCAUCAUCCAAGACGAAGACCACUAUCAAGGUGCCAAUCGGCACAAGGAUCCUUCCACCUAGACCCAAUGAGAGGGUCGUUGGAGUCAAGACCAACCGGAGCAGCGAGAUCAGCAGUGUUCGCUACACUACGGAGGAGGAAAGGCCUUACUUUGAAGGGAUUAGAGCAGCCAAAGUCCUUUUCAUCCCUCCAAAGGCAGCCCCGAAGCACGCUCUCAAUGCUUUUGAGACACCUCCCAAGCGUCGCAAGACUAUAAUGGAUAUUGAUGAGGAAGUUCGCAGGCUAGAUAGAGUUAUCACAGACCUCCAGUCCUCGAUUAAUUCCCUCACUAGGCAGCUCUCUAACUACAAUACCAUUAUACUAGGUCUUAGGCAGGAUCUUGCUAGUGCCAACAAGAAGAUCAAGGAAUUAGAGCACCGCUAAGUUAUCUAGAUUAGACCUUGAGGCAAUACAUCUUAGUCAUUUAUCUUUAAAUUCGGUUUAGGUUUGCUAUUAUCAUCAGUUUACUAUUAUCAUCAGUUUGCUAUCAGUUUGCUACUAGUCUUUUGUAAUAAAUGCCUCAAGAUUAAUAAAGAAUAUUAUUAUUAUUAUGUCUUGUGUGUCUCUACUUUAUUUUUGUUCAAGAAAGCAGAAAACAAGUAUGGGGGAGAUCCCUCGACAUGCCAAACACACUCCGACCACACCACUCCACAAUUCAGGUACACACUCUGCACACUUUACUCUACACAUACAACUAUUUUGGAUUAUGCAGAUUACUAUUUCCGACAUGAUAAAUUAAAAAGAUUAAAAUAUUUCUAAUCAUAAUUAAUCUCAAUCUGUGAUAUUUCCUGAAAACUUGCAAUUAUUAUAAAAUCAUUUCAAAACCCUGUGUUACUUAAGUCAUUGUGGAAUAUGUGAUGGUAGAGUAUGAGUUUCUUAUUCUUGAUAUCAUUGUUGCUUGGAGAAUUUAUUUCAAAAUAUUCAAAAUUCUAGCUACCAUCCUCAGUGUUUUAUAUGCCUGAUAAAACUAAAAAUAUUAAUUAUGAUUACAAAAGCUAUCUACCCUGUAUUGAGUUUGUUCAAAAUGAGUUAGACCCUUGUUGAGAGAUUUAUCAUGCUCCUAAGAUCAAGACAUUAUUUCAGAAAGAUUCACUCUUCCGAAGUAUUAUUGCAUUAGAGGCAUGGGCUAUGCAAAAAUAGAGAUAUUUCGAGGAAAUAAAAAGGAGCAAGUGCUCGACAACCUCGUAGAAAAAAAAUGGACAAGUGUCCGGUAGUAGAAUUAGGGGUACCUCGGUUUCCACUUAAAAAAAAGAAAAAAAGAGAAAAAAGAUGAUAGCCCAUGGUCCCUCUAAUAAGCAAUAUGCCAGCAAGAGUUGACAAAGAUUUUAAUUUCCAAAGUCUUUGAUCUAAGAGUAUGACAUUCCUCUCCUCGGAUCCCGUUUUGAUCAGGCAAUAAAUGCAAAGUAAGUAUGCUUGAGAAUUUUUGCAAAAUUAAAACAGCCUCAGUGAGAUAUAUAACAGAUAAUGAGUGAUCUGAGAGAACCUAUGAGGAUCAAAAGGUAUGCUAACUUUCUUUCAAAAAUAUACAAAAACUCCAAGUGACUGGAUUGAGAAGAAAGGAUCUUUACUCUUAACCAUAAACAUCCCUAACUAUGGUACACAGUGGAAUUUUUAACACCCUGCAAUUAUAAAAAGAAUGUUUUAAAUGUUUACCCCAGAUAUUUUUCUUAACCAUCCUUUUCUCGAGGACGAGUAAAAGCCUAAGUAUGGGGGUAUUUGUUGACGGUUAUUAAGUAUAUAUUUUAAUUAUCAAAUAAACAAGAGAAAGGACCAAUAUGCAACCAACACCUAGAAUUAGGGUUUGAUCUGACAGAAUUCCAUGAGUUUUGUUGUUUAUCUGUUUCUGCAGGGGGUUAUCAGGAAAUAAGGAAGAAAGGCCUACAUGUCGGGAUUAAACAGAGAUAUCAACGCACCGCAUGAUUUUCUACCAUCUAGAAGACUCCAGAAGCCACGGGAAGAAGACGGAGGCCGAAAGGGGCCAGGCCCAGGGCGCCCACCCUGGUGACCUGGGCGCCCGCCCCCUGCUGGAUGCCAAUGAGGACUCUCAUCGCACGGGAUAUUCCACCGACCUAUUGGAUCAAGGAAAACAUAGUACCACCUCGCCUACCGACCCAAAAACGCAUAGAAGGGAAGGACUAUAUAAGGAGACCCCCUGGCCCCUGGAGAAGAAAUGAAGAAAUUAUCAUAGAGACUGAGGGGUGCCCUCGAAGGAAAACCUCUUCUCUAAUUAAUAUUUCUUUUUAGGCUUAGCAACCAAUGUAAGGUAGAAAUAGAUCUUCUAGUUUCUACUAGAUUGAGAGAGAUAGAGUGGAGGUGUAGAUUGGAGGAAGCCCGGCCUGUCGGUGUCUACUCCAAGCUUGUACCUGCAGGAUCAAGUUCUCCUAACCCGAAGCUUGCUCCUCGGAUUCUUCAGUAUUACGACUUCUAAAUUCUAGUAAGUUCUUGUUUUAUUGUUCUUAUGGUUUAUGAGUUUACUUUAAUCUGUUCGCGUAGAGUUUAGAGUAAUCAUUGCUGGCGUAAAUGUGGUGUUUAGGCUGGGGUACUCAUAGAUAUUCCCUGACUAGCUGGACCGUGGUAGUAGUGAGGAACGUGACAAUUCCGAGUUACCUUUGCAGAUCACAUCUCGUUAGCAGGAAGGAUAGGGUUUAUAGGUGCGGGUUGAACAUCCUUUGUGGUGUCUAGAUUCCGUUAGCCUCCCCAUUAGAACAGUAGAUCAUCCUUACCAAGGUUAGAAGGAUACUACGGUUGCAGUCUUCUCUAUUUAUCACUCACAUCGAAAGACAUUCUUUGUGCCUAAAGGUUAGUAGUAAUAGACCGGUUAGUCAGAUGCACUCUUUCUCCUAGUGGUAAAAAAAAUAAAUACGAUACUCUGGAUAAUUUCCCGGGUGAAGUGCUCACCGAUAUCCGUGCGCUUGCGGAUCAAUUCUUUAUUGCGUUCCCAAAUAUCAACAGGGGGAGGGCGAGCGCCCUACCCCUAGGCCCGAUCGGCCUCCCGUUCGUUCCCGUGGCUUCUAGAGUCUUCUAGAUGAUAGAAAAUUGCGCGGCACGUUAAUAUCUCUAUGUAAACCCGACGUGUGGGCCUUUCCUCCGUAUUUCCUGAUAACCCCCUGCAGAAAUAGACAAACAACAAAACUCAUGGAAUUCUGUCAGAUAAAACCCUAAGUCUGGGUGUCGGUUGCUUUUGGAUCCUUUUCUUUAUUUAUUUGAUGGUUAAAUUUGAUACUUAAGGACCGUCAAUAUCAGCAACUAGCACGCCGAUUUAAUCCUAAUAUUCUUCCUGAUAUUAAGGUCGAAAUAACCAAACUUAUUGAAGCUAAGUUUAUUCGGCAAUGUCCGUAUGCCGAAUGGAUUCCCAAAGUUGUCCCUGUCUACAAAAAGAAUGAAAAGCUUCGUGUCUGCAUUGACUUUAGGAAUCUCAAUAAAGCCACACCGAUGGAUGGUUAUCCAAUGCCAGUUGCUGAUCUAUUGGUUGAUGCUGUGGUUGGACAUCGGAUUAUAAGUUUUAUGGAUGGCAAUGCUGGGUACAAUCAAAUAUUCAUGGCUGAAGAGGAUAUUCCUAAGACUGCAUUUAGGUGUCCUGGUCACAUUGGAUUAUUUGAAUGGAUAGUCAUGACUUUUGGCCUGAAAAAUGCUGGUGCUACUUAUCAGAGGGCCAUGAAUUUUAUUUUUCAUGAGUUCAUCGGCAAGUUGGUAGAAAUCUAUAUUGAUGAUGUGGUGCUUAAGUCUGGGAUUUCAUAAAACAUCUAGCCGAUCUACGAAAAGUGUUGGAAUGCACAAGGAAACAUGGUCUAAAGAUGAACCCUAAUAAAUGUGCAUUUGGCAGGGCAGUUUCUGGGUUUCAUGGUGCAUCAGAGAGGAAUUGAGAUUAGUAAGAGAUCCAUUGAUGCCAUCAACAAAGUAGUUGCUCCCACCAAUAAAACUGAACUUCAAUCAUUGAUCGGCAAGAUUAAUUUUAUUAGACGAUUUAUAUUUAAUUUGUCGGGUAAGAUUCGUGCUUUUAGCCCUUCGCUUAAAUUGAAAGCCGAUCAAGAGUUUGUGUGGGGAAAAGUGUAACAAUUAGCUUUGGAUGAAAUCAAGAAUUAUUUGACAAAUUCGCUAGUCCUAGUUCCACCUCUGCAUGGGAAGCCAUUCAGAUUAUAUUUAUCUGCCGAUGAUACAGUCAUCGGUUCAGCUCUCAUUCAAGAAUUUGAAGGGAAGGAGCGUGUAAUUUACUAUCUAAGUAGAAGAUUGGUGGAUGUUGAGACAAGGUAUUCAGCAAUUGAGAAAUUAUGUUUACGCGUGUAUUUUUCUUGUGUCAAAUUGAGACAUUACUUGCUAUCGGCCGAAUGCACUGUUAUAUGCAAAGAUGACGUGGUCCGAUACAUAUUGUCAAUGCCGAUUAUGAGUGGUAGAAUCGGCAAAUGGAUAUUAGCAUUAUCAGAAUUCAACUUACGUUAUGAAUCGGCUAAGGCAGUCAAAGAGUAGAUCAUGGCCGACUUUGUAACUCAGCAUUGUGGUGUAGUGGAUGUUUUGGAAAUUGUUCCUUGGACACUCUUCUUUGAUGGAUCUACAUGUGAUCGGGGGGCAGGUAUUGGUAUAGUGUUGAUUUCUCCUCGAGGGAAGAAAUAUGAGUUUUCUUUACCAAUUGUUGCUACAUCAACAAACAAUAAAGCUGAGUACCAAGCCCUAAUCAAAGGAUUAGAAUUAUUGAAAGAGGUUCAUGCCGAUGCUGUUAAAAUUUUCGAUGAUUCUAUGCUUGUUAUAAAUCAGUUGGCUGGGAUUUAUGAAUGCUGAAGUGAAGUUUUGAUAGCAUAUUAUGAAAAGUGUGUACAAUUAUUGAAGGAUUCAAGGAUUUCCGAUUAGAGCAUAUUCCUCGGUUGCAUAAUGAGGAAGCUAACCGAUUAGCUUAACAUGCUUCGGGAUAUCAACCCAUCCUGGAAAUAUUAUCGGCAGUCAGUGCCGAUGAUUGGAGAAAAGAAAAUAUAGAUUACAUAAAAGAUCCAUCCAGAAAAGUUGAGAGACGUGUUAGGUUUCAGGCUACAAAGUAUGUACUCCUUGAAGAAGAAUUGUAUUAUCGUACAAUAGAUGGAGUCUUGCUUAAAUGUUUAGGUGAUGAUGAAUCCAAGAGCUUGAUGGGUGAAAUUCAUGAAGGAGUAUGUGGAGCACAUCAAUCAGCUUUUAAGAUGAAGUAGAUGAUUAGAAGGAAUGAAUAUUAUUGGCCGACCAUACUUGAGGAUUGUUUCAAGUAUUUCAAAGGAUGUUAGAAGUUUGGCAAUAUUCAAAGGGCACCCGCAUCGGCUAUGAAUCCUAUUAUUAAACCUUGGCCGUUCCGGGGUUGGGCUAUUGAUCUCAUCGGUCAGAUUUAUCCGCCAUCAGGUAAAGGGCAUAAGUUUAUCCUUGUUGCCACUGAUUAUUUCACCAAGUGGGUUGAGGUUAUUCCUUUGAAGAAAGUAGCAUCAGUCAACAUUAUUGAUUUUAUAAAGGAGCAUAUUAUUUACUGAUUUGGUAUUCCUCAAACUAUAACUACCGAUUAGGGUACCAUGUUUACAUUAGGAGAGUUUGAUGAGUUUGCAAUCGGUAUGGAGAUUAAGGUGUUGAAUUCUUCUCCUUAUUAUGCUCAAGCCAAUGGGCAGGCCAAAGCUUCUAACAAAGGAAUUGUUAAGCUCAUUAAGCGGAAGAUUGAAGAAAAUCCGAGGCGAUGGCACACAUUGUUAAAUGAAGCUUUGUGGUCAUAUCGGAUGGCGUGUCAUGGUUCAACCAAAGUAUCACCAUAUUAACUGGUGUAUGGACAUGAUGCGGUACUACCUUGGGAAAUUAAGAUUGGUUCCAGGCAGAUGUUUUCUCAUGAUCAGUUAACUGCCGAUGACUAUGCUACUUUGAUGAAGGAUGAGUUGGAUGAUUUAGCAGGGCAUCGGUUAAAAGCUUUAAUCAGCACAGAGGAGAAUAAAAGGAGAGUGCCUAAAUGGUAUGAUAAAAAGGUAAAGGCCAAAGAGUUUGCUAAUGGGGAUUUGAUGUGGAAACUGAUUCUACCGAUUGAGGCUAAAAACUCAAAAUUUGGAAAAUGGUCUCCUAAUUGGGAGGGUCCUUAUCGGAUAAACCGAACUGCCCCUCGCAAUGCUUAUAUUUUAGAAACUCUUGAAGGAAUUGAAUUUCCCAGAGCAUUGAAUGGAAAAUAUUUAAAGAAAUACUACCCUAGUAUCUGGAUUGACGCAUGAAAGUUUAAGUGCCGAUAACAAUCCUAUCGGCUGGACAAAAUAUCAAGUGUAUCUAGGACCAUGCGGUUGGGUAUUCUUAACGUCAUUACCAAAAGUAGACUUAGUUUUCUAAUUCUGAUAACGGCGCCAAAAAUGCCAAACCUAUCUCCCAUGCCACACCUUCUAGUUCUAAUCCUAGGUAGCUAUGCUAAUCUAGAUAUCUAAUUGAUGUGAUGGCUCUAGGCUUGAUCAGAGGCUUCUUCUCCCUGAUGAAUAAUGAAUUAGGGUUGAGAGGAGCUCUCCUCCAGGGGCCAGGGGGUCUGGUUUUAUAGUCCUUCCAAGUGAAUAUGGGCCGUCAGAUCAAACCGACAUUGAUUGAAUGGUUAUCCUUGAUCCUUUAGGUCGGUGGAGCGCAAUCCCGAAAGAGAGUCCUGAUUGGACUCCAGAGGGGGGCGGGCGCCCUGGGCCAGGCUCCGUUCUGCCUCCGCUUCGUUCCCGUGGCUUCUGGAGUCUUCUAGAUGUAAGAUAAUUGUGCGGUGCAUUAAUAUCUCUAUGUAAUCCCGACGUGUGGGCCUUUCUUCCGUAUUUCCUGAUAACCCCCUGCAGAAAUAGACAAACACUAAAAUUCAUGAAAUUCUAUCAGAUAAAAACCCUAAGUCUGGAUGUUGAUUUUAUUUGGAUCCUUUUCUUUGUUUAUUUGAUAAUUAAAUUUGAUACUUAAGGACCAUCAACAAACUCUCCCAAGCUUACCUCUUGCUCGUCCCUAAGCAAGGAUAAUCUCAGCGAUGGAUCAGAAGUUGUUGCAAUAUCUUUAAAAAUUGACGGUACACAUGCUUUUAAAUAAGGUCUCGUCUCUGAGUUAGAGUAAACUGUCAAGACUUAAAACUUAUUCAUUUUACCUUUCACCAUGGGACUCGUAACCGUUACUUCUGUCUUGAGUAGUUAAAAGAUAGAACAGUCUAAUCAAGUGCCAUGUCUCUUAUUCUUGAUCAGCUAUAGCUCUAGAGUUUUUGCAGAUUUUCAAAUAAAACUCAGAGAUUCCUUGUAUGACUCUCUCAGAUCUCUCUUUUGUGGUAUUUUUGGAUCCUUACCAAGGCAGUGAUGGUAUAUGCCUUCUCUCAAAAUAUAUAGUAUUUGUAGUAUAAAGCAUAGUGACAUUGCUUCUCUCUCAUCCUACUCUAAUAAGGCUUUAAUAUUUGGAGUUCAUCGGUGGGAGAUAAAAUAUACAUACUCACAAGACAUUUAUUGCAUAGUCAAACCAUGGAUCCAAAGUAACAAGUCAAUAAGUCAAAUCAAGAUGUGCAUGUGUGGGGAAAGAAUGGUGUAUGGUGAUGAUGGUGAUAACAAUGGUGAAAGUCUAAUUCUACUUUUGCUCUUUGAGGUGAUAAAUACCUUCCUUGAUUUUUGAAUCUUUUUGGGGAGAAUGAGAUGCUCUUCUUUUUCUUUCCUCUCAGGUGGGUAUUCUGUACCCCUAAUUCUACUGUCGGACAUUUGUCCAUUUUUACCUCUCGUCUCACUUUUCUCUUUUCUUUCGAGGUUCCGGGCACUUGCCCCUUUUUAUUUCCUCCUAUCUUCUCUCUUUUUUUAUAGAGCACUCAUCUCUUGAAAUAAUAUAGCAAGUGGUAGUAACCAAGAUAACUUGAGCAUUUAUUUCACAAGGGAAAAUAAAAAUAUUUUUGGCUAUUCUCUUCCAGAUUAGGAGUAGAAUAUUUUUGGGUGGUUCUAGAGUUGGAAAUGAGUGGAUAUAUGUGGAUGCGUACUUCCAGAGUAGAAGCAUCAUGUGUGAGUGAACGUUCAUGUGAAUCUUGAUUUAACCACAUGACAAGCUCAUAAGGGUCUACACAGCUUGACCACACUCAAUGCUCAUAAGCAGUAAAAAGUAAAUGUGUGGCUCAAAGUCUAGCAAGCAUGUAUAUAUGGCUGUGGU
rnacentral:lncRNA from 1 species